rnacentral:rRNA from 1 species
AUACGUAGGGGGCAAGCGUUAUCCGGAAUUAUUGGGCGUAAAGAGUGCGUAGGUGGUUACCUAAGCAGGGGGUGAAAGGCAGUGGCUUAACCACUGUUAGCCCCCUGAACUGGGCUACUUGAGUGCAGGAGAGGAAAGCGGAAUUCCUAGUGUAGCGGUGAAAUGCGUAGAUAUUAGGAGGAACACCAGUGGCGAAGGCGGCUUUCUGGACUGUUACUGACACUGAGGCACGAAAGUGUGGGGAGC